rnacentral:rRNA from 1 species
GACGAACGCUGGCGGCGUGCUUAACACAUGCAAGUCGAACGGAAAGGCCCUGCUUUUGUGGGGUGCUCGAGUGGCGAACGGGUGAGUAACACGUGAGUAACCUGCCCUUGACUUUGGGAUAACUUCAGGAAACUGGGGCUAAUACCGGAUUGGAGCUCCUGCUGCAUGGUGGGGGUUGGAAAGUUUCGGCGGUUGGGGAUGGACUCGCGGCUUAUCAGCUUGUUGGUGGGGUAGUGGCUUACCAAGGCUUUGACGGGUAGCCGGCCUGAGAGGGUGACCGGCCACAUUGGGACUGAGAUACGGCCCAGACUCCUACGGGAGGCAGCAGUGGGGAAUAUUGCACAAUGGGCGGAAGCCUGAUGCAGCAACGCCGCGUGCGGGAUGACGGCCUUUGGGUUGUAAACCGCUUUCGCCUGUGACGAAGCGUGAGUGACGGUAAUGGGUAAAGAAGCACCGGCUAACUACGUG